rnacentral:lncRNA from 1 species
AACUCAUGGAACGGAAGUUUGCUGUGGUGAGGUGGAAUGAAGGAGAGGAUGCUGGGAAGUUAAGUGAAGUCAAGACUGAGACCAUCCGGGCAUAUGACGAUUCCAAAAUGGACCAACAUGGGAAUCCCAUUGUUGCGUAUUCAGCUAUUGUGGAAUGGCGCCACGGGAAGAAACCGCGAGGAGGAUGGCCUCACUACAGAGGCACUGUGCUGUUUGUCAGCGCAACUCGUUUUGAGGCAACCCGUAAAAUUAACUUGCUGCUGAAGACUGAUGAACCUCUAGAACUGACCAAGAGGAAAUCGGUCCUGCCUCAAAAAUAUCAAGAUGAGUCAGAUAACUCGACCAUCACUGACAGUCAGAUUCUUACUCAGUGGUUACAUGUCAAGGUGAUAUCAAGUUAUAUGGAGCUCUUUUGUAAUAUUUCUCAAUGAAUGUUACAUCAAAUUGUGGAAGUGAUUUUUAGUUCUGAUUUGCAGUUAUAGACUGCAAUGUUUAGCUUUAAAAUAUAAACCAUCAUUUGUAGUUCUUGUUACUGAACCUGUUGUUUUUGCAGUUGAGCUACUAAACUGAAACAUCAGUUGUUUUUUUCUUUUUCUGUAUUAAUGAUUUGAUUUUUCUCUCUCUGGACACCCAGAAGUCAAAGGUACAGAAAAGAAAAGACCCUGCUGAAGACUUUCUUGAGAUGUACUGUCAUCCAAAAACAAGUUCAAGGGAUAGAAAUCCAGAAAAGACAGUAUCUGAAUUAAUGCAGGAGAUCAAGGAGCUGAAAGAGGAGAACGCUAACUUGAAGGAGAUGGUUGUUCAAGAUAUACCAGAACUCAUGAACACCAUGAAAAAUGUAAUUAAGUCGGUUGUACCUACUAAGCGAUCCAGGCUUGAGCUUAAUACACCACCGAUGCCCCCCCAGAGUUUUAGUUCCUCAGCACCGUCCCACCCUGGAGCUACAGAAUCCAGUUCCGUGUCUGACACUGUGACUCCAUCCCAGAAGGACUCGCAGUCUUCUAAGGUGGAGAUCUACCCUGGAACUGGAGUCCUGGUGGAGAAACUGGCGUGGACGUACGCUUUAAAUUCACAUUCAGCCACUGGAUUUGUGAGACAUCUAGUCACAGCAGUCUUCCCACCAGAGAUACUGCUGGUGAGCAAUCUUCGCGGGGGCAAACGAGGUGGAGGCGAUGCUCGUCUACCAUUGGACAAGCAUAAAUUGGAUGCCAUUUACAGUGCAACUCUUGAGAGGUGGCCAGGGACACAGAUCGCCAGCAUCGGAACCACAAUAAAUGGCAAGAUUACAGAACUCCGGGCGAAAAGUAAAAAUGUUGCCGUGCCAUAAGUUGUCAUGGUUACGCUUUGGGUUGGUUCUUAAGGUUGUUUCCUUUUUUAUUUUUAAGGCCCUUCCUUGUUUGUUUAGUUUAGUUUGACUUCCCUCGUCCCAAUCUUUCCUGAUCAUUGGCACCUAUGUCUCGUCAGCCCCGUUAGUAUAUAUGUCUUGUCACUCCCUUCCUCUUGUGCUGAUCCGUACUGUUAGUUCCCCCCUUCAAGUGGUUUUGGUUCUAUUGUCAAGCUUAGAUAAGUCUGUUCUCAGUUUAUGUUACUCUUUUGGUAUUUGGAUUCCCUGUGGUACAGCGUCCUUUGUUAAAUAAAUAGAUUUUGUUUUUUCGAACUCCUGCUGCUUCCUGUCCUGCAUUUGUGUCCUCUACCAACCCUAAACGUUACAGGAUUGUUCCUUAUUUAAAUUUAGUUUUUAGUGUUAUAGACAUUGAAGAACUGUAUUUAUGUGAAGGGAAGGGAAUUGUAAUAGCUGAAAUUAGUUUUAAGUGAUGUGCCUGUUUGUAGUUGCAAUUUGUAAGGCAAUUUCAGUGUCCAUAUACCGUAAUUUCAAAUGAAGUCAUGCCACUUCAACAUGUGCUUUAUAUAAGUUUAACAAUUAACACUUGACAUUAUAC